rnacentral:rRNA from 1 species
UGGGGAAUAUUGCACAAUGGGCGCAAGCCUGAUGCAGCCAUGCCGCGUGUGUGAAGAAGGCCUUCGGGUUGUAAAGCACUUUCAGCGAGGAGGAAGGUGGUGAGCUUAAUACGCUCAUCAAUUGACGUUACUCGCAGAAGAAGCACCGGCUAACUCCGUGCCAGCAGCCGCGGUAAUACGGAGGGUGCAAGCGUUAAUCGGAAUUACUGGGCGUAAAGCGCACGCAGGCGGUUUGUUAAGUCAGAUGUGAAAUCCCCGGGCUCAACCUGGGAACUGCAUUUGAAACUGGCAAGCUAGAGUCUCGUAGAGGGGGGUAGAAUUCCAGGUGUAGCGGUGAAAUGCGUAGAGAUCUGGAGGAAUACCGGUGGCGAAGGCGGCCCCCUGGACGAAGACUGACGCUCAGGUGCGAAAGCGUGGGGAGCAAAACAGGAUUAGAUACCCUGGUAGUCCACGCUGUAAAACGAUGUCGAUUUUGGAGGUUGUGCCCUUGAGGCGUGGCUUCCGGAGCUAACGCGUUAAAUCGACCGCCU